GCCAGUAGGGAAUCUUCCACAAUGGACGAAAGUCUGAUGGAGCAAUGCCGCGUGAGUGAAGAAGGGUUUCGGCUCGUAAAACUCUGUUGUUAAAGAAGAACACCUUUGAGAGUAACUGUUCAAGGGUUGACGGUAUUUAACCAGAAAGCCACGGCUAACUACGUGCCAGCAGCCGCGGUAAUACGUAGGUGGCAAGCGUUGUCCGGAUUUAUUGGGCGUAAAGCGAGCGCAGGCGGUUUUUUAAGUCUGAUGUGAAAGCCUUCGGCUUAACCGGAGAAGUGCAUCGGAAACUGGGAGACUUGAGUGCAGAAGAGGACAGUGGAACUCCAUGUGUAGCGGGUGAAU
rnacentral:rRNA from 1 species